rnacentral:rRNA from 1 species
CAGUCGCCGCGGUAAUACGUAGGUGGCAAGCGUUGUCCGGAAUUAUUGGGCGUAAAGGGCUCGCAGGCGGUUUCUUAAGUCUGAUGUGAAAGCCCCCGGCUCAACCGGGGAGGGUCAUUGGAAACUGGGAAACUUGAGUGCAGAAGAGGAGAGUGGAAUUCCACGUGUAGCGGUGAGAUGCGUAGAGAUGUGGAGGAACACCAGUGGCGAAGGCGACUCUCUGGUCUGUAACUGACGCUGAGGAGCGAAAGCGUGGGGAGCGAACAGGAUUAGAUACCCGGGUAGUCCCUGUCUCUUAUAC